UCAACCGAAUGGGAUAUUGAGGAUUAAUAUUUUGGUGUUCAUAUCGGACGGGAUAUGGGGAUGACUCGUUUCACCCUCAUACCGGACGGUGUAUUGAGGGAUGGUAUUUUUGAUGCUCAUACUAGAUAGGGUAUGGGGACAGACUGUUACUUGAAAAUGUUAAAUAAGGGUUCACGCGUAUUGGGGACAUCCCUAUGGACCCCUAUGAAUACCAGUAUGUAGAUAAAAAUAGAAAGUUGUUGUUAUGAUUAAUUGAAUAUGAGAUUAUGAUAUUGUUUGUG
rnacentral:lncRNA from 1 species